CCAGUUUUAAGUUCUGUUGUUGUUGUGGAUUACCACUGACUACCAGAGGAAUUUGAUCUUCAGGUUAUCAGGACACGGUGUGGAAUCCUCAAUAUUUUGAUAGUAAAGAUGAUAUACAGACGUGCUGAAAAAGUGCAUCUGUUUUUCAAAGAUAGGAGAGUCUCAGCCUGUUGGAUUUGCAGCACGUGGACAUAUUUAGAUAGAUGCAGUAUAUCCUGGGGUUUACAUUUAUUUACACUUGCAUGUAAAAUCUUUCCUGAUCCUUCCACUCAGGAGAUAUUUCUGAAACUUCAGGAUUGCAGGUAA
rnacentral:lncRNA from 1 species